rfam:Granulibacter bethesdensis CGDNIH1 chromosome, complete genome.
CUAAGCAUGCCUGGUCGUGGUUCUGCGGGUCCGUCAAAGACGAACGCCGGAGCCAAGAGGGAAUCCGGUGCGCAUCAGCAAAGCCGGAGCUGCCCCCGCAACUGUAAGCGGCGAGCCUGCAUCCACCGACGUCACUGAGGCUUCCGCCUCGGGAAGACAGGAUCGCAGGCAAUGACCCGUGAGCCAGGAGACCUGCCACGACACCAUAAUCGUC